CCUUCGGGGGACAAGUAGAGUGGCGCACGGGUGAGUAACACGUAGUAAUCUACCUUUGGAUGGGGAAUUAACAAUCGGAAACGAUUGCUAAUACCGCAUAAUGCAGCGGCGCCUAAUGGUGACAGUUGUUAAAGCGGGGGAUCGAAAGACCUCGCGUCUAAAGAGGAGCCUGCGGGGAUUACUAGUUGGUAAGGUAAUGGCUUACCAAGGUACGAUCCGUAACCGGCCUUGAGAGGGCGGUCGGUCACACUGACACUGACCAUACGGGUCAGACUCCUACGGGAAGGCAGCAGUCGGGAAUUUUGGGCAAUGGGCGAAAGCCUGACCCAGCAACGCCGGUGAAAGGAUGAAUUCCCUCGGGAUGUAAACUUCGCAAGAACGGGAAGAAUAAGUAGGGGACAAUACCCCCUAUGAUGACGGUACCGUUUGUAAGCUCCGGCUAACUCCGUGCCAGCAGCCGCGGUAAUACGGGGGGAGCAAGCGUUGUUCGGAUUUACUGGGCGUAAAGGGCGCCGUAGGCGGGCCAGCAAAAAGUCAGUUGUGAAAUCUCCGAGCUUAACUCG
rnacentral:rRNA from 1 species